GGGAGGCCCAGGGCAGGGGCCGAGGUGAUAGCACAUAGCAAGGCACGGAAGCUGGAGUAAGCUUCAGGGGACAGAGAAAAAGUUCAGUCUUUGAAUAAAAGGUACAGGCUUUAGGACAUCAUACAGGUAAAGACCUCAGGCAUCCAGGUUCUGCAGUAGUAAAUGAGGAUCAAAAAGACAUUGGGGGCUUGUACAAAUAGCUGUGAUUCCCCACACUCGGUCCCGGGUGAGGUGACGGGUGCCAUGGGAAAGACAAUGUCCCAAGAAGACAACUGAGGGCCGGCAUCAUGGUAGCCUCCUUUUGGAGGCUUUGCAUCCUUAUGCAGCAAGGUAGUAGAGCGAGACAGGAGCAUGUGGGGAUUAAGCACAAUGAGU